UAAGACAGAGGGUGCAAACGUUGUUCGGAAUUACUGGGCGUAAAGCGCGUGUAGGCGGCAGCGCAAGUCGGAUGUGAAAUCCCAUGGCUCAACCAUGGAAGUGCACCCGAAACUGCGUCGCUAGAGUCCUGGAGAGGAAGGUGGAAUGCUUGGUGUAGAGGUGAAAUUCGUAGAUAUCAAGCGGAACACCGGUGGCGAAGGCGGCCUUCUGGACAGUGACUGACGCUGAGACGCGAAAGCGUGGGGAGCAAACAGGAUUAGAUACCCUGGUAGUCCACGCCGUAAACGAUGAGUGCUAGGUGUCACGGGCUUUGACCCUCGUGGUGCCGAAGCUAACGCGUUAAGCACUCCGCCUGGGGAGUACGGCCGCAAGGCU
rnacentral:rRNA from 1 species